GUCUGAAUCGCCGUGUCUCCAGCCCACCUAGCUACUUACUGGACCCCUAUGAUCACUCGGCCAGGCAUGCCUCUCCCUAAUAGAGCGAGCUGAUCAAGGGGUCGAAAAUGUAGAUAUUGCCAGAUGUUCACUGUCCGAGGAUCAGGCCGUGGAAGCUUUUUUGCUGGCAAAGUGUCCAUAACCAGAGGUUAUACCAGCUGUUUUGGUGAACCCCUCCCGCCUCUGAACUGGCUGACACAGAGGCCACAGCAUGUCACUUGGUCAGGUCAACAGGAAGCAUUAUUAAAGAGAUGCUUUACAUUGAAAUACAGACAGAGAUGUAGUAGUCCCAGAGUGACUGACCUUGUUAGAAUAAAACAAAACAAGGCUUAGUCAUGCACUCUCUCUAUCCAUCAGUCACUCGUCUGCAGGUAUGUUUUGAUGUGAGAGAGGAAGCCAGUCCCAUCAUCGCCACCUCACCCGCUCUUAAGAUAACCUUCGGGCCAACUGGGGGCCCAAGGCUGGUUAGGAGACACAGCUGAGAGAAUAUUAGGGUAGCACUGUAAUUCAUUAAUCAUAUGCUGUCUGCUGCUGUUCUAACCUCUUUCCCUUUCUGUCUUCUACACCUUUCUCCCCACCUCAUCUUUCUUCCUCAUUUUAUAAUGUGCAUUGAAGUACAGAUUGAACUUGUAUUUAUAAUACUACAAUUAUCAUAAUUAUAAUGCAUUUAUUAUGUAUUUAUAACACUUGGAU
rnacentral:lncRNA from 1 species